rnacentral:tRNA from 1 species
GCCAGCAUGGCAUAGUGGUUUGAGUGCUGGACUAGGACUCUGGAGAUCAGGGUUCAAAUCCAUGCUGGCC